rnacentral:rRNA from 1 species
UACGGGGGGUGCGAGCGUUGUCCGGAAUCACUGGGCGUAAAGGGCGCGUAGGUGGUUUGAUAAGGGUGUGGUGAAAGUCCGGAGCUCAACUCCGGAUCUGCCGUGCCGACUGUCAAACUCGAGGGCUGUAGAGGCAGACGGAAUUCCGGGUGUAGCGGUGGAAUGCGUAGAGAUCCGGAGGAACACCGGUGGCGAAGGCGGGUCUCUGGGCUGUAACUGACGCUGAGGAGCGAAAGCGUGGGUAGCGAACAGG